rnacentral:rRNA from 1 species
UACGUAGGGGGCAAGCGUUGUCCGGAAUCACUGGGCGUAAAGCGUGCGUAGGUGGCGUGUUAAGUGUGAUGUUAAAUCGCGGGGCUCAACCCUGUCGAUGUGUCGCAUACUGGCAUGCUAGAGGGAAGCAGAGGCAAGUGGAAUUUGUAGUGUAGCAGUGAAAUGCGUAGAUAUUACAAGGAACACCAAUGGCGAAGGCAGCUUGCUGGGCUUCUUCUGACACUGAGGUACGAAAGCGUGGGGAGCGAACAGG